rnacentral:lncRNA from 1 species
AAGGUGAAUUUUAAAUCUGAUGGAAAAGGGGUUCAAAUCGAAGAAAGAAAUCCUGCCAAUAGGAUUUACAAAGCUAUUGCAACCAGAAAGGCUGUUCUUCUUCAACGUGUUUCAUCCCCUUCCAAGGAGUUUUCUUCAUUGAUCUUCUGAUGGGAGGUACUCAACACACCUAAAAAUGCAGCACAAUAAGUGGUAUUAGAGUCCGUGUU